GAGGGUGUAAUAAGAUUUGCUAACUCUUUAAUCUGGAACCAACUACCAGCAC
rnacentral:tRNA from 1 species